rnacentral:lncRNA from 1 species
GAAAGAGAUUUCUCUAAAAAAAGAGUUGUGCUGCUCCUGGAAUGAGUUACGUGCUUUUUAUUAGGAUUGCUGGUCGUGGUGGUUUCCUUUUGGGACAAAGCUAUUCACAUCCCAUCUGAAAUUGACAUACUCAGGUAUUAAAUGUCACUAGAUUUUGCUUCAUGCUUCCAUUUUUCCUUUGGGACAAAAAAGGUACAUUGAUGCAGUUUGAUUAAGCAGAGUAAUCUGACUUCAACAAUAUUUUUCCUCUAUCAUUGUCCGACGACAAAUGUUUUUGUCGCUAUCAUUGUUCUCCAAGCAAAUUUGUGCCGAUACAUUAUCCAGUUGUCAACACCUGCCUAAGAUAAAACUACAGAAUGUUGGUCGAGAUUUGGGCAGAGCGGUCGAGCCACACUGAAAGAGUAUGUAGCUCAAAAGUAUAAUGAGCAUCAGUCACGUAGCUUCACAGAGCCAUUGCCAAUUAGCAAGCAUCAUUUCCACUGCACAGGACUACUACAGUCAGGGAGUUGUUGCCGAUUACGAGCUACAGUAAGCAAUAGCUUCACAGAGCCAUUGCCAAUUAGCAAGCAUCAUUUCCACUGCACAGGACUACUACAGUCAGGGAGUUGUUGCCGAUUACGAGCUACAGUAAGCAAUCACAGUAGGAGAUGCUGACAUCCAUAGACGCCGUAAAGAACGCCGCAGGUAUUCUUGUAGAAAUACUGGAUCUGGAGCAAGUCCCUUUGGCCGCUGAAGACAUCUCAAACUAAGCAGGGCGUCAGAGGCAGCCUGGUGCCCCUUCCCAGUCCUCUUCGCUCCAAGUUCUGUAGCAACCGCAUCAAUCUUUCCCGGAACUAUCUCCUUGUUGAUACACUUGCCGUACUUUGAGAACGACUUGCAGUCAAAUGAUGAAGGGAAAUACUCUACGACUUGCAACAGGAACUGGAGUCGUGUUUCUGGCAAUGGAUCCUUCGUUAGGAGAUUUAUCAUGAGUUCAAAAUCUUGAUAACCCACAAAGGUAACCCAGGUGACAUUCUUGUUCUGCAGGAGACCGGACUCACGUAACAUGUUCUUGAACUCCGAGGCUGGAAGUCCCUUUGUCGCAUGCUCCUCUAAUAUCAGUGCACUCUCCCUCAGGAAUUUCACUCCACAGUGGUCACCAGAUCUCCUAGUGGGGCCGAACAAGAGAUUUAAUUGGAACAUUGCACCUCCGAGCAAAUUGAACUCCGUAUCAGCAAUUCCGAUCCCAGCCUGCACAAGGUCUCCACCAUGCACAUAGGAUCGCAGCUGCAAAUAGACUAUCCUCCAACAAUUUAUAGUUAUACCGUAUACAUCCAAACUUCUCCAUUGGUUAGAUUUACCUGCAAAUCCAUAUUUGGUCUAUCUGUAAGCAUGAUCUGUCUACGGAUCUAUUAGUAAUUUGACUGAAAGAGAUUUCUCUAAAAAAGGAGUUGUGCUGCUCCUGGAAUGAGUUACGUGCUUUUUAUUGGGAUUGCUGGUCGUGGUGGUUUCCUUUUGGGACAAAGCUAUUCACAUCCCAUCUGAAAUUGACAUACUCAGGUAUUAAAUGUCACUAGAUUCUGCUUCAUGCUUCCAUUUUUCCUUGGGACAAAAAAGGUACAUUGAUGCAGUUUGAUUAAGCAGAGUAAUCUAACUUCAACAAUAUUUUUCCUCUAUCAUUGUCCGACGACAAAUGUUUUUGUCGCUAUCAUUGUCCUCCAAGCAAAUUUGUGCUGAUACAUUAUCCCAGUGUCAACACCUGCCUAAGAAAAAACUACAGAAUGUUGGUCGAGAUUUGGGCAGAGCGGUCGAGUCACACUGAAAGAGUAUGUAGCUCAAAAGUAUAAUGAGCAUCAGUCACGUAGCUUCACAGAGCCAUUGCCAAUUAGCAAGCAUUAUUUCCACUGCACGGGACUACUAUAGUCAGGGAGUUGUUGCCGAUUACGAGCUACAGUAAGCAAUCACAGUAGGAGAUGCUGACAUCCAUAGACGCCGUAAAGAACGCCGCAGGUAUUCUUGUAGAAAUACUGGAUCUGGAGCAAUUCCCUUUGGCCGCUGAAGACAUCUCAAACUAAGCAGGGCGUCAGAGGCAGCCUGGUGCCCCUUCCCAGUCCUCUUCGCUCCAAGUUCUGUAGCAACCGCAUAAAGCUUUCCCGGAACUCUCUCCUUGUUAAUACACUUGCCGUACUUUGAGAACGACUUGCAGUCAAAUGAUGAAGGGAAAUACUCUACGACUUGCUACAGGAACUGGAGUCGUGUUUCUGGCAAUGGAUCCUUCGUUAGGAGAUUUAUAAUGAGUCCAAAAUCUUGAUAACCCAUAAAGGUAACCCAGGUGACAUUCUUGUUCUGCAGGAGACCGGACUCACGUAACAUGUUCUUGAACUCCGAGGCUGGAAGUCCCUUUGUCGCAUGCUCCACUAAUAUCAGUUCACUCUCCCUCAGGAAUUUCACUCCACAGUGGUCACCAGAUCUCCUAGUGUGGCCGAACAAGAGAUUUAAUUGGAACAUUGCACCUCCGAGCAAAUUGAACUCCGUAUCGGCAAUAGAUCCCAGCCUGCACAAGAUCUCCACCAUGCACAUAGGAUCGCAGCUGCAAAUAGACUAUCCUCCAACAAUUUAUAGUUAUACCGUAUACAUCCAAACAUCUUCAUUGGUUAGAUUUACCUGCAAAUCCAUAUUUGGUCUAUCUGUAAGUAUGAUCUGUCUACGGAUCUAUUAGUAAUUUGACUGAAAGAGAUUUCUCUAAAAAAAGAGUUGUGCUGCUCCUGGAAUGAGUUACGUGCUUUUUAUUAGGAUUGCUGGUCGUGGUGGUUUCCUUUUGGGACAAAGCUAUUCACAUCCCAUCUGAAAUUGACAUACUCAGGUAUUAAAUGUCACUAGAUUCUGCUUCAUGCUUCCAUUUUUCCUUUGGGACAAAAAAGGUACAUUGAUGCAGUUUGAUUAAGCAGAGUAAUCUGACUUCAACAAUAUUUUUCCUUUAUCAUUGUCCGACGAGAAAUGUUUUUGUCGCUAUCAUUGUCCUCCAAGCAAAUUUGUGCUGAUACAUUAUCCCAGUGUUAACACCUGCCUAAGACAAAACUGCAGAAUGUUGGUCGAGAUUUGGGCAGAGCGGUCGAGUCACACUGAAAGACUAUGUAGCUCAAAAGUAUAAUGAGCAUCAGUCACGUAGCUUCACAGAGCCAUUGCCAAUUAGCAAGCAUCAUUUCCACUGCACAGCACUACUACAGUCAGGGAGUUGUUUCCGAUUACGAGCUACAGUAAGCAAUCACAGUAGGAGAUACUGACAUCCAUAGACGCCGUAACGAACGCCGCAGGUAUUCUUGUAGAAAUACUGGAUCUGGAGCAAGUCCCUUUGGCCGCUGAAGACAUCUCAAACUAAGCAGGGCGUCAGAGGCAGCCUGGUGCCCCUUCCCAGUCCUCUUCGCUCCAAGUUCUUUAGCAACCGCAUCAAGCUUUCCCGGAACUCUCUCCUUGUUGAUGCACUUGUCGUACUUUGAGAACGACUUGCAUUCAAAUGAUGAAGGGAAAUACUCUACGACUUGCAACAGGAACUAGAGUCGUGUUUCUGGCAAUGGAUCCUUCGUUAGGAGAUUUAUCAUGAGUCCAAAAUCUUGAUAGCCCAUAAAGGUAACCCAGGUGACACUCUUGUUCUGCAGGAGACCGGACUCACGUAAAAUGUUCUUGAACUCCGAGGCUGGAAGUCCCUUUGUCGCAUGCUCCUCUAAUAUCAGUCCACUCUCCCUCAAGAAUUUCACUCCACAGUGGUCACCAGAUCUCCUAGUGGGGUCGAACAAGAGAUUUAAUUGGAACAUUGCACCUCCGAGCAAAUUGAACUCCGUAUCGGCAAUUCCGAUCCCAACCUGCACAAGGUCUCCACCAUGCACAUAGGAUCACAGCUGCAAAUAGACUAUCCUCCAACAAUUGAUAGAUAUACCGUAUACAUCCACACAUCUCCAUUGGUUAGAUUCACCUGCAAAUCCCUAUUUUGUCUAUCAGUAAGCAUGAUGUGUCUACGGAUCUAUUAGUAAUUUGACUGAAAGAGAUUUCUCUGAAAAAGGAGUUGUACUGCUCCUGGAAUGAGUUACGUGGUUUUUAUUGGGAUUGCUGGCCGUGGUGGUUUCCUUUUGGGACAAAGCUAUUCGCAUCCCAUCUGGAAUUGACAUAUUCAGGUAUUAAAUGUCACUAGAUUCUGCUUCAUGCUUCCAUUUCUCCUUGGGACAAAAAAGGUACAUUGAUGCAGUUUGAUUAAGCAGAGUAAUCUGACUUCAACAGUUUUUUCCUCUGUCAUUGUCCGACAAGAAAUUUUUUGUCCCAUCAUUGUCUUACAAGCAGUUUUUUGCUGAUACAUUUUCCCAGUGUCAACACCUGCCUAAGACAAAACUGCAAAAUAUUGGUCGAGAUAUUGGCAGAGUGGUCGAGUCACACUGACAGAGUAUGUAGCUCAAAAGUAUAAUGAGCAUCAGUCACGUAGCUUCACAGAGCCAUUGCUAAUUAGCAAGCAUCAUUUCCACUGCACAGGACUACUACAGUCAGGGAGUUGUUGCCGAUUACGAGCUAUAGUAAGCAAUCACAGUAGGAGAUACUGACAUCCAUUGAUGCCGUACAGAGCAGUCUAAUGAUGAAGGGAAAUAUUCUACGACUUGCAACAGGAACUGGAGUCGUGUUUCUGGCAAUGGAUCCUUCGUUAGGAGAUUUAUCAUGAAUCCAAAAUCUUGAUAACCCAUAAAGGUAACCUAGGUGACAUUCUUGUUCUGUAGGAGACCCGACUCACGUAACAUGUUCAUGAACUCCGAGGCUGGAAGUCCCUUUGUCGCAUGCUCAUCUAAUAUCAGUGCACUCUCCCUCAGGAAUUUCACUCCACAGUGGUCACCAGAUCUCCUAGUGGGGCCGAACAAGAGAUUUAAUUGGAACAUUGCACCUCCGAGCAAAUUGAACUCCGUAUCGACAAUUCCGAUCCCAGCCUGCACAAGGUCUCCACCAUGCACAUAGGAUCGCAGCUACAAAUAGACUAUCCUCCAACAAUUUAUAGUUAUACCGUAUACAUCCAAACAUCUCCAUUGGUUAGAUUUACCUGCAAAUCCAUAUUUGGUCUAUCUGUAAGCAUGAUCUGUCUACAGAUCUAUUAGUAAUUUGACUGAAAGAGAUUUCUCUAAAAAAGGAGUUGUGCUGCUCCUGGAAUGAGUUACGUGCUUUUUAUUGGGAUUGCUGGUCGUGGUGGUUUCCUUUUGGGACAAAGCUAUUCACAUCCCAUCUGAAAUUGACAUACUCAGGUAUUAAAUGUCACUAGAUUCUGCUUCAUGCUUCCAUUUUUCCUUGGGACAAAAAAGGUACAUUGAUGCAGUUUGAUUAAGCAGAGUAAUCUGACUUCAACAAUAUUUUUCCUUUAUCAUUGUCCGACGAGAAAUGUUUUUGUCGCUAUCAUUGUCCUCCAAGCAAAUUUGUGCUGAUACA